GGCGGACGGGUGAGUAAUGCCUAGGAAUCUGCCUGAUAGUGGGGGACAACGUUUCGAAAGGAGCGCUAAUACCGCAUACGUCCUACGGGAGAAAGCAGGGGACCUUCGGGCCUUGCGCUAUCAGAUGAGCCUAGGUCGGAUUAGCUAGUUGGUGAGGUAAUGGCUCACCAAGGCGACGAUCCGUAACUGGUCUGAGAGGAUGAUCAGUCACACUGGAACUGAGACACGGUCCAGACUCCUACGGGAGGCAGCAGUGGGGAAUAUUGGACAAUGGGCGAAAGCCUGAUCCAGCCAUGCCGCGUGUGUGAAGAAGGUCUUCGGAUUGUAAAGCACUUUAAGUUGGGAGGAAGGGUUGUAGAUUAAUACUCUGCAAUUUUGACGUUACCGACAGAAUAAGCACCGGCUAACUCUGUGCCAGCAGCCGCGGUAAUACAGAGGGUGCAAGCGUUAAUCGGAAUUACUGGGCGUAAAGCGCGCGUAGGUGGUUUGUUAAGUUGGAUGUGAAAUCCCCGGGCUCAACCUGGGAACUGCAUCCAAAACUGGCAAGCUAGAGUAUGGUAGAGGGUGGUGGAAUUUCCUGUGUAGCGGUGAAAUGCGUAGAUAUAGGAAGGAACACCAGUGGCGAAGGCGACCACCUGGACUGAUACUGACACUGAGGUGCGAAAGCGUGGGGAGCAAACAGGAUUAGAUACCCUGGUAGUCCACGCCGUANACGAUGUCAACUAGCCGUUGGGAGCCUUGNNNUCUUAGUGGCGCAGCUAACGCAUUAAG
rnacentral:rRNA from 1 species